UCCUUAUAUGCCAUGGUAACAUGCAUGGGCCUUUAUUUAGCGCAUGUAAAGCUAGCUAAGCUACGCACCUGGCCAUGUGCAGUGUCUUCCAAGUAUAGCUAGCACCGUCCCCUCUGCCUGUUCGAUCGGAAGUGGCGGCUGGACGGAGCGAUAAGAAGGAAGGACAAGGACGAGAAGAAAUCCCAGCGGGAUGGAUGAUGGAGCUGUCACAGGAAGCGAUUGGUAGCUAGGACUCUGGAUAAGGAAAUUGCGUGAGGCAGGCUGCUGCUACCGUGGCUGAUGCAGUUGCACGGACAUGUGCGUGCUGUAUUAAAAAUUGCUGCAGUCAUUGAAUCAUGUGGCAGAGAACCUGCGGAUUAUUUGGAUAUAUAGGAGGCAUCUGACGCGUUGAAAUUUGUCGUCAGAGCAAGUCUAAUAAAGCAGAGCAUAAUAUAUUGAGAUUA